rnacentral:rRNA from 1 species
AACGAACGCUGGCGGCAUGCCUAACACAUGCAAGUCGAACGAGACCUUCGGGUCUAGUGGCGCACGGGUGCGUAACGCGUGGGAACCUGCCCUUAGGUUCGGAAUAACUCCCCGAAAGGGGUGCUAAUACCGGAUAAUGUCUUCGGACCAAAGAUUUAUCGCCUUUGGAUGGGCCCGCGUUGGAUUAGCUAGUUGGUAGGGUAAAAGCCUACCAAGGCGACGAUCCAUAGCUGGUCUGAGAGGAUGAUCAGCCACACUGGGACUGAGACACGGCCCAGACUCCUACGGGAAGCAGCAGUGGGGAAUAUUGGACAAGGGGCGAAAGCCUGAUCCAGCAAUGCCGCGUGAGUGAUGAAGGCCUUAGGGUUGUAAAUCUCUUUUACCCGGGAUGAUAAUGACAGUACCGGGAGAAUAAGCUCCGGCUAACUCCGUG